rnacentral:rRNA from 1 species
GACGAACGCUGGCGGCGUGCUUAACACAUGCAAGUCGAACGGCAAGGCCCUGCUUUUGUGGGGUGCUCGAGUGGCGAACGGGUGAGUAACACGUGAGUAACCUGCCCUUUACUUUGGUAUAACUUCAGGAAACUGGGGCUAAUACCGUAUAGGAGCUCCUGCUGCAUUGUGGGGGUUGGAACGUUUCGGCGGUUGGGGAUGGACUCGCGGCUUAUCAGCUUGUUGGUUGGGUAGUGGCUUACCAAGGCUUUGACGGGUAGCCGGCAUGAGAGGGUGACCGGCGACAUUGGGACUGAGAUACGGACCAGACGCGUACGGGAGGCAGCAGUGGGGAAUAUUGCACAAUGGGCGGAAGCCUGAUGCAGCAACGCCGCGUGCGGGAUGACGGCCUUCGGGUUGUAAACCGCUUUCGCCUGUGACGAAGCGGGAGUGACGGUAAUGGGUAAAGAAGCACCGGCUAACUACGUG